AUACGGAGGGUGCAAGCGUUACUCGGAAUCACUGGGCGUAAAGCGCGCGCAGGCGGGCUGAUAAGUUGGAUGUGAAAGCCUACGGCUCAACCGUAGAACUGCAUCCAAAACUGUCAGUCUAGAGUGUGGGAGAGGAAGAUGGAAUUAGUUGUGUAGGGGUAAAAUCCGUAGAGAUAACUAGGAAUACCAAAGGCGAAGGCAAUCUUCUGGAACACUACUGACGCUGAGGCGCGAAGGCGUGGGGAGCAAACAGGAUUAGAAACCCCGGUAGUCC
rnacentral:rRNA from 1 species